GUCUUCGUGGUGUAGUGGUUAGCGCGGUCGCCUCCCACGCGACAGACUCGGGUUCAAUUCCCGGCGAAUACU
rnacentral:tRNA from 1 species